rnacentral:piRNA from 1 species
UCCUCUUCUGAAAGUUUGAUUCUGUUUGUGCA